rnacentral:rRNA from 1 species
GAUGAACGCUAGCGGCAGGCUUAAUACAUGCAAGUCGAGGGGCAGCGGGAGUAGCAAUACUUGCCGGCGACCGGCGCACGGGUGCGUAACACGUAUACAAUCUGCCUCUUACAGGGGGAUAGCCCGGAGAAAUCCGGAUUAACACCCCAUAACAAAUUGGUUGGCAUCAACUGAUUUUGAAAGCUCCGGCGGUAAGAGAUGAGUAUGCGUCUGAUUAGCUAGUUGGAGAGGUAACGGCUCCCCAAGGCGACGAUCAGUAGGGGACCUGAGAGGACUACCCCCCACGCUGGUACUGAGACACGGACCAGACUCCUACGGGAGGCAGCAGUAAGGAAUAUUGGACAAUGCCCGCAAGGGUGAUCCAGCCAUGCCGCGUGCAGGAAGAUGGCCCUAUGGGUUGUAAACUGCUUUUGAACAAGAGAAAACCCUUCUACGUGUAGAAGGCUGAUAGUAUUGUUAGAAUAAGCAUCGGCUAACUUCGUGCCAGCCGCCGCAGUAAGAC